CCUGGCCACGCCCCCGCAGGGUGCUGGCGGAGGCUGUGUCACGCGCCCCCCGCCCCUUCCCGCAGACCCGAGACUGUGUAUGAAGGCAGCUCAGACUAACAAGAUUGGUGCCCACCGCUGGCCUCCGUCAUCCCAACCGGCUGGUUUGAGAAGUCUGGGAUCCUUCACCUGUGAUUGUACUGAGCUAUGGCGGCAGAAGCGGUAGCUCUGCCCCCUGGUGGAUAUAUGAGGCACAGCGCCCUUCUCCAAUUCAGAAGCCCCCGUCAUGGUGACCGAGGCUAGAGGAAGUAUCUUCUGAAUACAGCGGUGUAGACCCAGCGCACAGAGUGCAGACUUAUGUGAUAUCAUUAGUGUUGUUUCUUUAAGGGCGGGAGCCAUGUUUUCUGUGUCUUUGUGUUCUUAGACUCCACACAGGGCUGGGGACAGAAACUGGUCUCAAUAAGCCCUUGAUGACUAAAUGGUAAAUUAAUUGAUUAAUUUCUGCAUUAAAAAACAAAAUAAAACAAAACAAAAACAACUGUAA